CCAAAGAAGCCAGGAAGCAGGCAGCUUUGUCAAGAAAGCCUCUCUUGCCAAGAGUCCUUGCAACUUCCCUAAGAAGAAAUCUAAAUUCCCCAUCAUCUGUCUUCAGUCUCAGAGCAAUGCCAAGUUCAAGUCCCCAGUUGUCAGAUUUCUAUUUGUUUAUGGGGAAUCUCUCAGGAAGGAGCGUUUUGCUUCCUCACUGCUCAUCCAAGGCCUUGGUACUCAUCUUGGCUUUUGGUGUGCUCCUGCUACUACGAGGAACCGAGGCCCAGGCAGUGACCCAGCCUGAGGCCCUUGUCUCUGUGGCUGAAGAAGCCCCUCUGGAGCUGAGGUGCAACUAUUCAUCUUCUGUUCCUCCGUAUCUCUUCUGGUAUGUGCAGUCCCCCAACCAAGGCCUCCAGCUUCUUCUGACGUACACAUCAGGAAACAGCCUUAUUUCAGGCAUCAAAGGUUUUGAGGCUGAAUUUAAGAAGAGUGAAACCUCCUUCUACCUGAGGAAAGCCUCUGCCCAGUGGAGUGACUCGGCUGUGUACUUCUGUGCUCUGAGAGACACAGUGCCUAGGACUGCAGAGGGAGCUGAGCACAAACUGAGACACUGUAGCUUAAAAGACUCAGGGGCUCAACCCGAGUUAUUUUCAGGAAGUUGA